GAAAGCCCGGUGCCUGGAAAGCGGGCACGCCGGGUUUGGUGGGAGGCUGCGCGGAAAAGGCCCGCAAUACGGGACCUCGCCGCGCAGCCGACCCUAC
rnacentral:ncRNA from 1 species